UACGGAGGGUGCAAGCGUUAUCCGGAUUCACUGGGUUUAAAGGGUGCGUAGGUGGGUUUGUAAGUCAGUGGUGAAAUCUCCAAGCUUAACUUGGAAACUGCCGUUGAUACUAUAAAUCUUGAAUGUUGUGGAGGUGAGCGGAAUAUGUCAUGUAGCGGUGAAAUGCUUAGAUAUGACAUAGAACACCAAUUGCGAAGGCAGCUCACUACACAAAGAUUGACACUGAGGCACGAAAGCGUGGGAAUCAAACAGG
rnacentral:rRNA from 1 species